UAAAGCGUCUAUCAAAAAAUUUAUACGAAAAACCAUACAUUUUUUUAUUUACAAUAGAUAAAAAAGCUAACCUUGCAAACUCGCUGUGUUUCUUUGACGGAUUCCAAACCUGCGCCAUGUUCUAUCAACAAAAACUCGUAUAACAUACAUCAAUUCAAAUACAAUAACCUACAUAAUAUAAUCGUUGCCAUCAAUCACAUAUUUUACGUCAAAUAAUACUAAUAUCGUUUCAUUCGUAUUAUUUAACAAUUUGAACAAAAGAAAAACUACUUUAGAAUUAUUGGAUAUAAAGAAAAAGAAAAAAAAAAAAAAAUACGUGCUUGGGCUCGUCCGGGAUUUGAACCCGGGACCUCUCGCACCCGAAGCGAGAAUCAUACCCCUAGACCAACGAGCCUGACACUGAGUUAUUUUGCAAAUCAUACAACAAAAUAAUAAUGGUUACGUGAAUUGGGCUCAUCCGACGACCCAACACUGACCCAACAAAAGAAAAAAAAAGCCAUAGCGUCAAGUCAAAAAAGAAAACUGAAAAAGAGUACUUUGUAUGACGAAGUAAACAAAAUUCUGAAACGGAAUGUUAAAAAUUUCGAUAAAGAGUUCAACACCAGGAAUUAUGACAGGGUAUUUGAAAACAAUUCGCGAAUAAAACUAAACCUAAAUAUAGUAAGAAACAAAGGAUCAGGACUAGACGCGAACAAAGAAAAUGAUAGGAACGAGGGUUUCCUUAACUCAAAAAAACAGAAUUACCGAAAUUCUCAGUCGGUACACAAGGCCCAUGCUUUGAAUCUGAUAAUAAAUUCGAGGCGCUAUCGGACGAUAUGAGUUUCACGGAAGAGGGCGAAGCUAAAAAGGCCAACAGCGCCAUAACGAAAAACUAUAAGCAGAGAACUCCCAAAAUCUGAAUGCCCCCCCAUAUACAUUUUAAAAUCUAACCUAAAGGACAUAAUUGUACUACUAAGUAUAUAAUUAUACUACUAGCAAUAUUAACAAGGAAGCUUUCUUAUUAAAACUAAUAGAUAUAGAUAUGAUGAGACUAAUAACCAUACACACGACAAAUGCGUAGCUACACUAAAACCCAAAAAUCACAAAUUUCACACAUUUACACCAAAGCAUACUAAAUGCAAGACCUUCAUAUUAAAAGGUAUAAGAGGUGGUUCCGACGUUCCCAAUGUUUUAACAGCACUAAACGCGCUAAAUAUAAGUAAUAUUAAUAUAACGAAAAUUAGUAGACUAAUUUUCGAUAGGCAAAAUAUAGAUAGAUAUCAUUUUUUAGUACAAAUAGACAAUAACAGUAACUCGCAAGAAUUCCUAAAAAAUAAUAUACUGCUCAACGAAAGAGUAAGGUGGGAAAAAUUAAAAAGACCUAAAAUUUUCCAAUACAAAAAUUGACAAAAAGUAGGGCAUGCCAGCGUUAAUUGCAAUAUGGAGUAUAGAUACGUAAAAUGUGCUCAACCCCUCGAACCGGGAAAAUGCAAUUUAAUCAAUUCAAUAGAAAAAGAGAAGUUGAAAUGCGCAAAUUGCGGUCAAAACGAACAUCCGGCAUCGUACCUAGGAUGUCCAUAUAUGAAAAUGAUAGCUGACCUGAAGAAGAAAGAAAAAGAAAAAAAAGAUAAAAUAGUAAUGGACAAACUCAAUAAAAUUAACAAAUUCAUCGAUCCAAUUAUAUUAUACGCAAAUAUAGUGAUGACCAAAGAAAAAAAAAGUAUAACAGAACGCAACGACUAGAGACCAGUCAACACAACUCAGGCAAUGCAGCAGAAUAGUCAUCAUAAUACAAUUCAGCAUCAUGAAAAUAAUGUCAAUAACGAUAACAAUUACAAUAACAUAAACCAAAUAUUAGCUAUAUUUAAGAAUAGUUUGAUGGAAAUUAAAGAGCAACUCAUUGAAUUGAAUAACAAAAUUAUUCAAAACACAAUGAGAAUUGACUACAUGUCAUAAUGGUAGGUAGAACAAGCGUAAAUAGAAAAAUAAAUAACAUAAUGAA